UGUCCUUCUUUGUCUCUCACUACAGCCUUUCUUUAAGGUCUGUUUUGUCGGAUAUAAGUGCUGCUACUCCAGCUUGUUUUUUCCUUUUAUUUACUUAAAA